rnacentral:rRNA from 1 species
UUACUGUAGCCUGAUAUUGAAAUUCGGCACAGCUUGUACAGGAUAGGUAGGAGCCUUUGAAACGUGAGCGCUAGCUUACGUGGAGGCGCUGGUGGGAUACUACCCUAGCUGUGUUGGCUUUCUAACCCGCACCACUUAUCGUGGUGGGAGACAGUGUCAGGCGGGCAGUUUGACUGGGGCGGUCGCCUCCUAAAAGGUAACGGAGGCGCUCAAAGGUUCCCUCAGAAUGGUUGGAAAUCAUUCAUAGAGUGUAAAGGCAUAAGGGAGCUUGACUGCGAGACCUACAAGUCGAGCAGGGUCGAAAGACGGACUUAGUGAUCCGGUGGUUCCGCAUGGAAGGGCCAUCGCUCAACGGAUAAAAGCUACCCCAGGGAUAACAGGCUUAUCUCCCCCAAGAGUUCACAUCGACGGGGAGGUUUGGCACCUCGAUGUCGGCUCAUCGCAUCCUGGGGCUGUAGUCGGUCCCA